GUGUCAGCAGCCGCGGUAAUACGAAGGUGGCGAGCGUUGUUCGGAUUUACUGGGCAUAAAGGGCGCGUAGGCGGUUCCGUAAGCAGCGUGUGAAAUCCCACAGCUCAACUGUGGAACUGCACGCUGGACUGCGGUUCUCGAGGACGGCAGGGGGGUGCGGAACUCUAGGUGUAGCGGUGAAAUGCGUAGAUAUCUAGAGGAACACCGGUGGCGAAAGCGACACCCUGGGCCGUCUCUGACGCUGAGGCGCGAAAGCGUGGGUAGCAAACAGGAUUAGAUACCCUCGUAGUCC
rnacentral:rRNA from 1 species